AAAGGAAUUGACGGGGGCCCGCACAAGCAGUGGAGUAUGUGGUUUAAUUCGAAGCAACGCGAAGAACCUUACCAGGGCUUGACAUCCUCUGACCGCUCUAGAGAUAGAGUUUUUCUUCGGAACAGAGAGACAGGUGGUGCAUGGUUGUCGUCAGCUCGUGUCGUGAGAUGUUCGGUUAAGUCCGGCAACGAGCGCAACCCCUAUGGUUAGUUGCCAUCAUUCAGUUGGGCACUCUAGCGAGACUGCCGUUAAAAAAACGGAGGAAGGUGGGGACGACGUCAAAUCAUCAUGCCCCUUAUGUCCUGGGCUACACACGUACUACAAUGGUAACAACAGCGAGAAGCGACGUCGCGAGGCCGAGCGAAUCUCCAAAAGUUAUCUCAGUUCAGAUUGCAGGCUGCAACUCGCCUGCAUGAAGCAGGAAUUGCUAGUAAUGGCAGGUCAGCAUACUGCCGUGAAUACGUUCCCGGGCCUUGUACACACCGCCCGU
rnacentral:rRNA from 1 species